rnacentral:sRNA from 1 species
CUGACUUUUCAAAGAACACUUAAGUCUCCUCUUCAGUGUCCUCUAGAGUCAUAGAGCUUAUGGAAUGAAUAAGAUAGACAGACAGACAGACGGGCAGACAGACAGACAGACAGACAGACAGACAGACAGAAGGGGCUAUAGUCCAACUAAUUCAACAAUGGCCAGCCAUGAACGGGAAAUAAAUUAUCUUGUUCUUAUGUUGUCAAGUAAUACCUCUACGACACAGAUUCUCCAGGUAGGGCUGACAUGGCUUAGCAGGCAAGAGCAAAGGACCCAGAUUCAGCUUCCAGCACCCACACAGCAGCUCGCAACCAUCUAUAACUCUAAUUCUUUGGGAUUCAACACCGUCUUCUGGCCUUGGCAAGUUAUGCACAAGCAUACGUUCAGACAAAAACAUCCAUACACAUAAAAUAAAAGUAAGAAGAAAAACCUUUAAGAUUCUACAGACACUCAAACUGGUUGACUAGUACUUCCUGAUUGUGGGGAGUUGGAAUGUUGUAGAUCCUCAGCCAGUAUUACCUUUAGUCCCCCUCAGCACCAUUUAUCAUCUACCCUAGUAUCUGCUUUAAUAUCCAUCCACUUGACUGUUAGCUAUAAGUAUAUAAAGAUGGACACUCACUGGGAUUUCUAGAUUCUUAUGUCCCUGAACAAAUGUGAGGACAGAGAUGUAGAUGGCAACAUGGGCAUGAGAUGACAAAGAGAGUUUAUUGACAUUCAUUGGAAAAGAGAAAAGCCAAAUCCCAGAGAGAGAGAUGACACCAUUAAGAGGAAGCAGGACCAUGAAAGUCAAGAAAAUACUUUAUCUUAUGGGCCAUUUGCUCAAAGAUUCAUAUCUAGAUAGGCAGGUAUCUCACUAUCUCAUUAAGUAGUAAAUAGUAUACUACAUGUCUUUUUGACACUAGCCAUGUAGUCAGGGUGCCACAGGUCCUCGGUAGCUAUGCUCCAGAUGCUUGUAUACAGUAAGUCAUGACCUAGUUGAUAAAGUGUGGAAAUUUUGUUUUCAUUCCUGAUCUGUCUCUACAAAAACAUUCCACUAGUCAAGACAAGUCAUGUGGCAAAGCCAGCAUCAAUGGAUCAGGAAUACACCAUCUCUCAUAAUGUCAACAAGGCCACAUGACAGAAUAUUGGAGAUAUAACAUAAUUGGUAGCCAAUCAGGACACGGGGAGGAAAUCAGGACCAGCCAAGCUAACCAGAUGUAGCACUUCACAGCUUGAAUGUGUCACUCAAGCCUGUUGAUUCUGCUCACAUGACGUGUCAGAAUCCCAGACAGUACGUAAGUCUAAUUUUUACUAAUCCCAGACUAUGGCUCCAUUUCCACAAAAUGGACAGGUCAUUUCUGUCUAGAAAGGUCUAGAAAUAUAAAGAAAUCAAAACCCCCUAUUUUAUCUGACCUCUUCCUCAGAGGCAGAAUAUCUUUACUCUAGUCAUUUCCUGUUGCCUCCCUUAGAAAAACAAUUGCUAUUGGUUAUUGUGACAAGUGUUUUAAAAAUUGAAUUGUGUUCAUCUGGUUUAAGAUUUGACUAAUGAGUUUGGAAUCUCACUUUGAGCUAACAUUGUCCAGGCACUUUAAAAAGUCACCUAGAUAACAGAUUGCCUAACAUAAAGAGCUGUGUUUGGUUUCAAGGUAAUUCUAGUUCAUCUGGUGGUUUAUUAGCUGUGAUCAAAUCUGGCUGAAAGUGUCCAGAAGGACAGAGAAAGGGCGGAAAAUCAAAGACCUCACCUUGCCUACAUCUACACAGCCAAGACUGCCACAAAACAAGAGACAGAGUCUGCAUUAAAGCAGACACAAGAUAUAGACAUAAGUUGCCUGUUCUGCACCCAUGGAACUUCCUGGACGUCCAUUCGCUUUCUGACCUUUCCUGCCCAUGCUUCAGACGGAGCAACCCAUUCUUCAUGGCCUUCCAGGCUGUCACGUCUGUUGUUCGCCGUCCGUGGACACCAAAGUGGAGAGCUGGCUCUCCUUGAAACAGCUUGAGAAAAAUUCCAAUGUGGCUCCCGGUUCUGACCUCCCGAGGACUUUCGGACAGAGCAAAUACAUCUCUGCAAAGUCAGAUGUUUAAGGCGAAGGCUAAAACGAAGUCCGAGCUUUUACUUUAGACUUUGCCCGUCAGCCUGCCGUCUUCCCAGGCUUACUUCCCGCCUCCCCUCUGUCUUAACCAGAUCACACCAGGCUCUCUCGGUUCCUGCUGCUUUCCCGAAUCCUCAUCCCUGAAGUCUCAGCGCACCUGUCCUGUCACCUCCAUGAAACUCCUGCAUCACCCUGUUUGGACGUAAUCUGAGCUCGCUGGGCUCUUCCUACCUCACGGGGCUUUUCUUCUGCUCUUGUGAUGGUCCGUGUGUGAAGCAAGACCCAUACGAAAAGGAUCCUGUGUAGGAGGCUUGGCCGUGGUUGAGGGCGCCGUUGAAGAUGAUUGAAUGUUAAGUGUGUUAACCUCUCCUGGCUUUUAGAUGAGGCCUAUAGGUUGCCGGGAGCAUCAAUUUGGAAGGUAUCUUUUUUUUUCUUUUAACUUUUUAUUGAUUUUUUUAUGAGUUUUACAUUAUGCACCCCAGUUCUUCUCAGCCCCCUGUCCCUUCAUAUCCACCCUUCGUCCUUGCAACCCCCCCCAAAAAAUAAAAAAUGCACAAAUAAGCAAACAACAACAACAAAAAAUAAGCAAAAAAAACCCAAAGCACAGAAAGCCUCUCAUCACGGAAGCUGGAGGGUGUCCCAGAAUAUAUAUCCCUCUGUUCGUUGCGCUGAGUCAUUGUUCUGGUUAGAGAUCUCUGGCUUCUGUGACACCAUCAAUAUUGGAUCCUCACCGGGCCUCCUCCCAGUUAUCCUGUGUUGGCCUGUGUCAUAGAGAUCUGGCAGCUUUGGAUCAGCAGUCCUGGCCUUUGCAUGUGUCCCAACCAUCCAUAGAUAACGGAUUUUUGGGUGAGUCAACUCAGAGCUUUGGAUCUGGGCCUGGGUGGUAGCUAAGCUGGUCAGAGCCCCCACUCUCCCUUAUCAGCACCACCAGGGCGAGUUCUCCAGCACUGUCCCAGCUAGGACACCCAGUACCACCCAUGCAGGGUCAGCUCUCACGCCCUCCAGGCCAACUCACCUGCACCCCUGCCUCCAGAGUCGGCUUCGCUGUGCUGCCCAGUCAAGGUGUGAGGCCCACUCUCCCUAGUGCUUCACCCAGUGAGAGAAAGAGCCAACUCACCCUUCCUCAUGAUCCCAGCCCAUGCCACCUCAUGGCAGACGAGGGCCAGCUCUCCUUCACUUUUUCCCAGCUCACCUGAGCCACCUCCACUAGGGUGAGCUCUACUGUGCUGCACAGGUGAGGUGUAGGGCCAGCUCACCCACUCUCAUGACCCCAGGGUCAGCUCUCCUAUACUCAUGGGGAGGGGUAUUGACUCACACCUCCAUCACCAGGGUCAGCUGUGUUGUCUGGGUGAGGUGCAGGGCCCAGUGCCACCUGUGACAGGUAGGCCCAACUCUCCAGAGCACAACAGCCAGUGAGAAGCAGGGCCAGCUCUGCAUGGGUCCACCUGGACGUCCACCUGGGCCACAGCAGCUGCCCCAACCGGGGAUGUCCCUAUGUUCCCUAGUGGUAAUAUGAACCACGGACAUCAACACCAACUUCUGCUUCUGUGUAGCCCCAGACCCAGACAUGGCCCUCAGUGGCAACUCAGGCUGGGGCCUCAUCAUGACCCCAGGUGGUAGGACUGGCCACUUACAACGGGCUGCUCCUCUCUCCCCUCGAGUCUCCAUUUUCCUUCCUCUUCCACCUGUCCACCACAUAUUGCACAUUGUGGUGGCUCCCACUGCAGGCUGACCACAAAGCUGACUCCCUGUGGUGAGCCCCCGGGUGACAUCCUCUGGCAAGCAGGCAUAAAACAGCUUUGGCCACCUUCCUUGAAAUCAAACUAUACUAAACAAAGAACUGCCAUCCACUCUGCCCCUAACAACACUACUGACAAGUGUUCUGCCUCGCUCCGGUCCCACCACGAUGGAGUCAGCCUUCAAUAAACAAAAACCUUCAAGUCAUGGGCCCAAAUACAUCUCUCCCCCACCCCACGACGGCAUCCAUCUCAGAUGCUUUCAGGAGUGAUGUAAAGUGACCAACUCGCUGUCUUAUUCUACAGGCUCUCAUAAAACCCGUCUCCCGGACCGACAAUAAAUUAUCUGUAGUAAGACCUCG